rnacentral:lncRNA from 1 species
CCACAGAGUCGGGUCUCUCACCAAAACACCAAGUGGCUCUGAGCACGAGGACCUCAGUCGCCAUGGAGACCGACAAGCUGUGAGUCACCAGAAUCACCAGAACCUGAUCCGGAGGGGGUCCAAGGGCAGCGGGACGGAACACUUGGUCCGGAGGGGGUCGUACAACAAUUACAGGAGAGACUCGAGGGACCGUUUGAGCCGGAACGACUUGGACCCGUAUGGGGAUGGCUUGUAUAGUCGUGAAGAGGAUCAGGAGAGCCUCGUCUCCAGAGACAGGCAUCACCUGGAUGAGCCGCCAAUGUAUAGAGACCGAUACAACGGACAAUACAGAGAGCGGCACUAUGACAACGGAUACAGAGACGGUCACCCUGGAG